AUUGAACGCUGGCGGCAUGCCUUACACAUGCCAGUCGAACGGUAACAGGUCUUCGGAUGCUGACGAGUGGCGAACGGGUGCGUAAUACAUCGGAACGUGCCCGAUCGUGGGGGAUAACGAGGCGAAAGCUUUGCUAAUACCGCAUACGAUCUACGGCUGAAAGCGGGGGAUCUUCGGACCUCGCGCGGCCGGAGCGGCCGAUGGCAGAUUAGGUAGGUGGUGGGAUAAAAGCUUACCAAGCCGACGAUCUGUAGCUGGUCUGAGAGGAUGAUCAGCCACACUGGAACUGAGACACGGCCCAGACUCCUACGGGAGGCAGCAGUGGGGAAUUUUAGACAAUGGGCGAAAGCCUGAUCCAGCCAUGCCGCGUGCAGGAUGAAGGCCUUCGGGUUGUAAACUGCUUUUGUACGGAACGAAAAGCCUCUUUCUAAUAAAGAGGGGUCAUGACGGUACCGUAAGAAUAAGCACCGGCUAACUACGUG
rnacentral:rRNA from 1 species